CGAACGAGACCUUCGGGUCUAGUGGCGGACGGGUGAGUAACGCGUGGGAAUUUGCCUUUCGGUGCGGGACAACCAAGGGAAACUUUGGCUAAUACCGCAUACGCCCUAAGGGGGAAAGGCUUCGGCCACUCUGGGAUGAGCCCGCGUUAGAUUAGCUUGUUGGUGGGGUAAUGGCCCACCAAGGCUACGAUCUAUAGCUGGUCUGAGAGGACGACCAGCCACACUGGAACUGAGACACGGUCCAGACUCC
rnacentral:rRNA from 1 species